GGGGUCCAGUGUUGUUUCCUAUAGAUAUUCAUGUCUUGUUCUUGCCUUUAUCGUGAUAUAUUGUGCUCUAUAGUAGUAGAGGAAUGCAAAUUCAAGGAAAACUUGAUCUGUAUACCUUCUUUAGAACUGUUUUAAGCCUUUGAGACAAAUUCUUGCCUCGAAUAUAAGGAGUUAGAAGACCAAAGUUUAGGUUUCAAGGAAUGUGUAGAGAUAUUAGAAAUUCAUAAGUAAAGUUUUUGGGUGAAGAAGUUUUAAGGACAAAGUUCGGAGAUCAGAUAUCGUACGAUUCACAAGAAGAAUUGAGUUCAAGAGACUAGAAUAAGAGAAGCUUCGGGUAAGUAUUGGGUGGCAGGUUUAAUAAAUCAGCUUGGUUCAAGGUAUCAGCAGUGUGGAAGGCCAGAAGAAAGGAAAAUGUUGAUGAGCCAUGAAGUACCUUUGGGUAUGGUUGGCAAUAUGAUUUGGUAUAUCAAGGAUGUACGAGAUUAGAAGAAGAGAAGUGGUAAAUGAUUUGAAGUUAAGUUAUGAAGGGAAUGGGAAUUCUAAAGUGGACCAAGGCAAAUUAGUAUCUAAAAGGGAAAUAGAAGAAGAAGAGUUUGAGAAGUAGCUGUAUGAGACGUAGAGCAUAUUUAAGGGUGUGCAAUAAAAGGUGAAAUUCCUAAGAUGGAGAGAACAUGAAGUCUGUGAGGAAAAAAAUUGAAGUAUUGUAGUGUUGCGAAUUGAAUAAUAAUCAGAUGGAGUGGUGAAGCAUUAAUCGCAAGUUGAUAUUUGAUAAUCAAGUCUAGAAGGAUGUUUUAAGAUCAAUAGUUUGUAUGGAAGAAAGGUUUGAUCAUUGGCUGAGAUGAGGGAUUUCAAGUGUUGAAGGAAGGAGUACAUCAGAAGGUGAGUUUGGUAGGAAAGUAUAAGGUUAAAGAAUUAAGAGCACAAUGAAUGAGGAAAGUAGAAGAAAGGUUUUAGAAUAGAUGGUAAAGGGUAGUUACAGUAUAAGUUGUGAAAGAGGGUGUCGCGAAUGAUCAGAGUUUGGGUUGGUUGAGACGUUCAGAGUUAUGAAGCGAUAUGUUGUGGUAAAGUCAAUUUUCAUCGGAUAUAGUUUUAUGGUGAUGUUCAGUGGUCAGCUAAGUUCGAUCAAGAUAGAAGUGGAUGUUUAUUUUUGGGUUACAAAAGGCAAUGAAUUGGUAAAUUCAGAUAAGGUCAGAGGGUCGACGUUGUGGGCUAUGGGUAUUCGGAGUUCAUAGGAUUAAAGGUAGGAUUGGUAUUUUGAUAAGUCUGAAUUGAGGAAGGUGAUUUUGGGACAAGGUUGUAAACUACGCUGGAGAUCAUAAGUACAUGAGGAAUUCUAUUUGAAUAUGGUAUUUGGGGAGUUGUUAUAAGAGCUCAGGUUUGAGGUUUAUAGGAAGUAAUUUCUUGGCAAGAAAGAAAAGCAAGGAUGAUGCAUCGGGUAUUGUUUAGCGAAAGAUGGUGGCAAGUGUUAUGGGAACCCAAGAUGUUUGAUAAGCUUAAGUGAAGAAGAUAUGAUGUCGUCUUUCCUAAGUCUGAGGUGUGAUUACAAGAGAGGUUUGUUUGUCUUCAAAUUGUUUCGGGUGGUUAUGGACUUCAAAAGAAGUACUGUGUUUUGAGAAGAGGAAGCCUGGUUAUGCAUUAGAAGUGGGUCAUAUAAAGAAGAAGACAAAGGGUUGUAGGAUUCAGAAUAUGUUAGCAAAAAAUACGUGGAGAAGAGAAUAUAGAUCUUUAUGGUGUAACAAUUUUGGGUUGGUGUUCUACAACAAGUAUGGGAUUUUAUAACUUGGAGAAAUGGUGGAUUGGCUAGAGCGGUAGUGCUUGGACUCAAUGUAAUCAUAAGGAAAACUACAAGGUUGAAGAAUCUCAUAAGAGAAAUGGAGGAUAGGUUGGGACAACCUAGUAUGAGUCUUAGCAAUCAAGGGUGAUUUUCUAGCAUGUUCGUUUCGUUGAGUAGAAAACAAUAUUGAGGGAAAUGGAAUAACAAGACUAUCAAGUAAGAGAAGAGUUAUUCAGGGUUUUUGCUAGGUCAUGGAAAUUUUGAAGAUGGUGAGCGUGUUAUUGUCAAUAAUAGGUACGCAUUAAGAACUUUCAUAAUUGUGGAUUGGUGGCUUGUGAGGGACGAGUUCUUUGAAACAAUAUUGGUGUUGUUAUAUGAGAAUGAGUUGGAAGUGGUUGUUAAUCCUCAAGAGUCCGAAGUGAGUUGAGUAUGGAAGAAAUAGGUAUCAGUCAGAGAAAAUGGGUGAGCCUACAGUUUCUAGCUACAGGGUCAACUUUAAAGUGAGGAAGUAUUAAUGGACUUGGAA
rnacentral:lncRNA from 1 species